UAAUAGCAAUAACUAGUUUGUCUUAUCAUACAGUGCUCAUGAAAGACACAAGCUUUAUUUGAGCUCCAGCAAACUUCUCUACUAUCUGUUAAAAUUUAAACUACUAAACUUUAUAACUCCGAUUGCAAAACUCUGUUUCUGUUUUAUAUUGAUUUCUAUGAAAUAAUGAUAUAUUAUAGAUCUGUUUGAUCAGUGUAUUUAUAGUUCUUUUUCUGCACAUGCAGUUUAUAAAUAGUGUGAACAGUAAGGUUUGUACGUGUGUUUUACUGAUUUAAGAAGUAAGGAGCUCAAUAAAGACUUGUGAUAGGCUACUCUCUAAAGAUGAAUAUCUGGAACAUUAUGUUUUAUAUAUGUUUUUAUCAUCGUGUAAUGGGUCAGAGCAGGAUACUGGAUGAAAAAUAGCUGCACAGAGCUCAUCUGUGCCUUUAGUUACUGAAUGAGAUUCUCUAGAUCUUGAGAUUCGUAUUCUGAAUUUCUGUUCUGAGAAAUGGAGAAAAAGAAAGUAAAAAAAGAUCCCACACCUGAGAAAAGCAAACAGUGUUGGGCGUGUACUUAGAUACUUCCAAUCAAGUGUGCAACAAUUAUUAAAAUCCACAACAAACUAUGGAUUAUUUGCACAAGCAGCGCACAUCAUGAGCAGCAGCAAGGGUCCAUUUCACUCCAUUUGGUUUUUUGUUUGUUUGCUCUUAUUUUUUUUUAUUUUUUUUUUUUACUGAUAUCAGUGUUGGAGUCCUUCACAUUCAACACACCAAAUCACAAUGAUAUGAUGCCUAAACCACAACAUUCACACAUACAGUGGGAUUCAGUGGAGUGUCGUUUGAUGACUCUUGGUGCAGGAUUGCUGCUUGUUUUUCAUUCUAAAUGAAGAUAAAACUGAUAUAAUGCUAUAAACUGAAAGUGAAGGAAACAAUAGUGUUUUGUUCACUUUUUGUUUCUUUGAAGUUUCUUUAUUCUUUCACUUUGCUCCUCGUCUUUCAUAUGUGGUUCACUUGUAAAAUGUUCUGCACGGACCGUGUUUGCACAGCCUCUCUUUUUCUUUUAUAAUGAAACAUGUCAAAUUUCCCAUGUUACGUUAAUGAUUGUAUUUUAAUAAAACAGCAGUAGUUAAAUUUAUUUCA
ensembl:lncRNA